rnacentral:rRNA from 1 species
GGCGGACGGGCGAGUAAUGCCUAGGAAAUUGCCUUGAUGUGGGGGAUAACCAUUGGAAACGAUGGCUAAUACCGCAUAAUGCCUACGGGCCAAAGAGGGGGACCUUCGGGCCUCUCGCGUCAAGAUAUGCCUAGGUGGGAUUAGCUAGUUGGUGAGGUAAUGGCUCACCAAGGCGACGAUCCCUAGCUGGUCUGAGAGGAUGAUCAGCCACACUGGAACUGAGACACGGUCCAGACUCCUACGGGAGGCAGCAGUGGGGAAUAUUGCACAAUGGGCGAAAGCCUGAUGCAGCCAUGCCGCGUGUAUGAAGAAGGCCUUCGGGUUGUAAAGUACUUUCAGUUGUGAGGAAGGGGGUAGUGUUAAUAGCGCUAUCUCUUGACGUUAGCAACAGAAGAAGCACCGGCUAACUCCGUGCCAGCAGCCGCGGUAAUACGGAGGGUGCGAGCGUUAAUCGGAAUUACUGGGCGUAAAGCGCAU